AUUUAUAAAUAUGUAAAUUGAUAUGUAUGAUCCUCAAGAGAUUAAUUGACCUGCUUAUGAUCAUACAGCUAAUUCAUUUAUGGAAAACUAUGGAAUCAAGCACAUUCUACCAGCAGACACUGGUUGUGGACCCUGGCAUACAGCACAUCUGCAACUGGGAACAAGUGGCUGCCUCUCCAUGACCAGCACAGACUUUAAAAGUUCAUGCCAGGCCCUUUCCAUCAGAGCAAUUAACACCAGCAGUCCAGACAUCAGUACAGAAGUCCACGGCAGAUUCAUCAGUCUGGAGAGUGAUCCUGAUGACUGUAAUUGUUGAAAUGGCAACUCAAGUGGACCUAACGUGCU
rnacentral:lncRNA from 12 species